AGCGAACGCUGGCGGCAGGCCUAACACAUGCAAGUCGAACGGAUCCUUCGGGAUUAGUGGCGGACGGGUGAGUAACACGUGGGAACGUUCCCUUUGGUUCGGAACAACUCAGGGAAACUUGAGCUAAUACCGGAUGUGCCCUUCGGGGGAAAGAUUUAUCGCCAUUGGAGCGGCCCGCGUCUGAUUAGCUAGUUGGUGAGGUAACGGCCCACCAAGGCGACGAUCAGUAGCUGGUCUGAGAGGAUGAUCAGCCACACUGGGACUGAGACACGGCCCAGACUCCUACGGGAGGCAGCAGUGGGGAAUCUUGCGCAAUGGGCGAAAGCAUGAAGCAGCCAUGCCGCGUGAAUGAUGAAGGUCUUAGGAUUGUAAAAUUCUUUCAGCGGGGACGAUAAUGACGGUACCCGAAGAAGAAGCUCCGGCUAACUUCGUG
rnacentral:rRNA from 1 species